AACGCACCUUGCGCUCCUUGGUAUUCUGAGGAGCAUGCCUGUUUGAGUGUCAUUAAAUCAUCAAACCUUACAAUUUUUUGAAAGGCUUGGAUUUGGGAGUGUUGUUGGCCUUUCUUUUGGUCAGCUCUCCUUAAAUGAAUUAGCUGGAAGCUUUUUGUAGCCCAUCUCUUGGUGUGAUAAUUAUCUAUACCAUUGAAUGUACAAGGCUUUUUGCUUCUAACCAUCGUCUAAUGGACACAUUUUUGACAAUUUGACCUCAAAUCAGGUAGGACUACCCGCUGAACUUAA
rnacentral:misc_RNA from 1 species